AGAGAGAGACAUGCGCGCAUAUCAAUAAGCGGAGGAAAAGAAACUAACAAGGAUUCCCUUAGUAACGGCGAGUGAAGCGGGAAGAGCUCAAAUUUGAAAUCUUCAAGGUUUUACCUUGACGAAUUGUAGUUUAAAGAAGUGUUUUCUGCUGAAGUUUUGGUAAAAGUUCUUUGGAAUAGGACAUCAUAGAGGGUGAGAAUCCCGUAUUUGACCAUUAUUUUCAGCUUUGUGAUACACUUUCAAAGAGUCGGAUUGUUUGGGAAUGCAGUCCAAAAUGGGUGGUAAAUUUCAUCUAAAGCUAAAUAUUGGCGAGAGACCGAUAGCGAACAAGUACCGUGAGGGAAAGAUGAAAAGAACUUUGAAAAGAGAGUUAAACAGUACGUGAAAUUGUCAAAAGGGAAGCGUUUGACACCAGUGUUGUUUUCUCGAAAAUCAAUUAAAAAUGGCUCGAUUUUGUAUUGCUUGAGACCUUAAAAGCUCACUGUACAUUUUUCGUGUCUUUUAUAAUGCACUUUUCGUUUAACAAGUCAACAUCAGUUUCUUUUGUUGUAAAAGGGUCAUUGGAAGGUGGCUUCCUUUUCGGAGAAAGUGUUUAUAGCCUUUGGCCUCUGCAAUCGAAGAGACUGAGGUCUGCAGCGUAGACUCUUCGGGGUUAGAUACAUUUGUGCUAAGUUAUAGCCUUUCAUAGACAACUUGUUGACUAUGAUCAGUCAUGUAGCUUACUCGCUUAUGCUAUUUUACCUACGCUUAGGAUGUUGAAGUCAUCGUAUCGCGC
rnacentral:rRNA from 1 species